GAUUCUGAGGAGGGCAUUUUCUUGAUUAACGAUUGAUGUGGGAGGGUUCACAGCACUGGGGUGCUACCAACCCUGGGCAGGUGGUGGUCUUGGGUAGCAUAAAAAAACAGGCAGAGCAAGCCAUGAGCGAGCAAGCCAGUGUAGCCAUGGCCUCUGCUUCAGUGUCUGCCUCAAGCUCCUGUCCUGGCUUCCCUGACUGAUUCACUCCAGCAUUGAAACGUAAACCUCAAAUCAACCUUUCUCUUUCUUCAGGAUGCAGUGUUUUUCCUCGGAAGAAGUUUCUGCACAGCAGUACUGGGGCUGGUUAUUGUGUUUGCCAGGAUGGAAACAUGGAGGCUCAGUGGAUAAGAAAGCCACCCAAGGUUAACAUCAUCAAGCUAACAAAGGACAGAGCUGACAAUGCCAACCACAUCAGUGACCCCAAAGCCCAAGCCACAAGCCACUUCUCUGUGCUGUCCCAGACCUGAGCUGAGCACUCAGCACGCUUCCCACAGAGGGGAGGCAUUGCAUAGCAGCUGACACCUGCCAGCUCUACCUAGGUGUCAACCUGCUGUUUCACAAGCAAGUUCUGUUCUGGUUUCUGCCCCAGGGCCUCUAGGCCUGACCAGGAUGUGGGAAUUUAUCACUGGGUUCCAUCUGUCACACACACAGACACACACACGCACACACACACACACACACACACACACACUCACGCACACACACAUAAGCACGCAUGCACACACACUGGAUGAGGUAUGCAGCCUGUGGGUCUGAGCCCAGCCCUAGGCAUGUGAGCACUCUUGGUUUACCUUAGGUGUGAGCUCAUCUACAGGCUGAAUGAGGAGGCAGGUCUCUGCUCCAGCGUGGAGAGAAAUAGGGCCUCACUCCCACGACAGCUUCCUCAUAUAUGCUUAAGGGUCCUCUCUCCAUGGGACACUGUAACCAGAGACUGGUUUGACAUGAGAGGGGCUGUGGGUAACGAUGGGGUGCCCUUUGGGAGAAUAGGGAAGCCAUGGUUAGAUCUUGUCAAUUGGAGCUUCCUGCCCUUCCCCCACGUGGCCAACGGAACCAAGCUGCUGGAAUCAAAUGAACCAGAAGAGGAAGUUUUA